GACGAACGCUGGCGGCGUGCUUAACACAUGCAAGUCGAACGGAAAGGCCCUGCUUUUGUGGGGUGCUCGAGUGGCGAACGGGUGAGUAACACGUGAGUAACCUGCCCUUGACUUUGGGAUAACAUCAGGAAACUGGGGCUAAUACCGGAUAGGAGCUCCUGCUGCAUGGUGGGGGUUGGAAAGUUUCGGCGGUUGGGGAUGGACUCGCGGCUUAUCAGCUUGUUGGUGGGGUAGUGGCUUACCAAGGCUUUGACGGGUAGCCGGCCUGAGAGGGUGACCGGCCACAUGGGGACUGAGAUACGGCCCAGACUCCUACGGGAGGCAGCAGUGGGGAAUAUUGCACAAUGGGCGGAAGCCUGAUGCAGCAACGCCGCGUGCGGGAUGACGGCCUUCGGGUUGUAAACCGCUUUCGCCUGUGACGAAGCGUGAGUGACGGUAAUGGGUAAAGAAGCACCGGCUAACUACGUG
rnacentral:rRNA from 1 species